UUGGGGCAUCUCAUUUCGUC
rnacentral:siRNA from 1 species